rnacentral:rRNA from 1 species
UACAGAGGUCCCAAGCGUUGUUCGGAUUCACUGGGCGUAAAGGGUGCGUAGGUGGCCAGGUAAGUUUGGUGUGAAAGCUCGGAGCUUAACUCCGAAAAGUCAUUGAAUACUAUCUGGCUGGAGGGUCGGAGGGGAGACUGGAAUUCUCGGUGUAGCAGUGAAAUGCGUAGAUAUCGAGAGGAACACCAGUGGCGAAGGCGAGUCUCUGGACGACUCCUGACACUGAGGCACGGAAAGCUAGGGGAGCAAACCAGG